UACGAAGGGGGCUAGCGUUGCUCGGAAUGACUGGGCGUAAAGGGCGUGUAGGCGGUUUUGACGGUCAGAUGUGAAAUCCCCGGGCUUAACCUGGAAGCUGCAUUUGAGACGUUAAAACUACAGUGUGAAAGAGGGUUGUGGAAUUCCCAGUGUAAAGGUGAAAUUCGUAGAUAUUGGGAAAAACACCGGUGGCGAAGGCGGCAACCUGGCUCAUUACUGACGCUGAGGCGCGAAACCGUGGGGAGAAAACAGGAUUAGAUACCCUGGUAGUCCACGCUGUAAACGAUGUGUGCUAGAUGUUGGGUAACUUAGUUACUCAGGGUCGCAGUUAACGCGUUAACCACACCGCCUGGGGAGUACGGCCGCCUGGUUGAAACUCAAAGGAAU
rnacentral:rRNA from 1 species